rnacentral:SRP_RNA from 1 species
GCCAGGUGCGGUGGCGCGUGCCUGUAAUCCCAGCUACUCGAGAGGCUGAGGUGGGAGGAUCACUUGAGCCCAGGAGUUCUGGGCUGUAGUGCGCUAUGCCGAUCGGGUGUGCCUGCAUCAAUAUGGUGACCUCUUGAGAGCGGGGGACCACCAGGUUGCCUAAAGAGGCGUGAACCGGCCCAGGUCAGAAACGGAGCAGUACAAAACUCCCGUGCUGAUCAGUAGUGGGAUCGCGCUUGUGAAUAGCCACUGCACUCCAGCCUGGGCAACAUAGCGAGACCCUGUCUCU